rnacentral:rRNA from 1 species
UACAGAGGUCUCAAGCGUUGUUCGGAUUCAUUGGGCGUAAAGGGUGCGUAGGUGGCGCCGUAAGUCAGAUGUGAAAUUUCGGAGCUUAACUCCGAAACUGCAUUUGAUACUGCGGUGCUUGAGGACUGGAGAGGAGACUGGAAUUUACGGUGUAGCAGUGAAAUGCGUAGAGAUCGUAAGGAAGACCAGUGGCGAAGGCGGGUCUCUGGACAGUUCCUGACACUGAGGCACGAAGGCCAGGGGAGCAAACGGG